GUUCCCUUCAUAACAUAACCUUUGUAGUUGUCUAUUCUUAGUUUGAAUUUUUUUUCAUGUAAAAGGUUGUUAAAUGGAUGAAACCUUAAAAACCGCUAUCCUAGCAGGCGCCAACGAUGACGAUAUCGAGUUUAUUAUAUUACAGAAUAUUUUAGGCGGCACGAAAAAUGCGCACGUCGAGGAUUACUUUAAUUUGAACCAAAUGACCGACAAAGAUAUCAAACGACGUUUUCGUUUCAAAAGAAAAGAUAUUGAGAGAUUAGUAUCAAUAUUUAGAAUUCCGCAGAAAGUGGAGAUUGGAAAGGGGAUUACAGUGUCUGGCACUACGGCACUAUGCGUAUUAUUAAGGAGACUGGCAUAUCACGGUGGGUUGGAAGAUUUGUGUGAAAUUUUUGGGUUAUCGACCCAAAAUCUUUCCAAAAUUAUACACACCAUAAGUACGAUCAUAAUAAACAAUUGCGGCGAAUUGUUGGACAAUUUAGAUGACCUACAGUGGCUCAAUAAGAGAAAACUGAAAUAUUAUGCCCAAGCCGUCCAAGCAAGGGGAGGCGCUAUUAGUAAUUGCUGGGGAUUUAUUGAUGGCAUCGAACGCCAAAUGUCAACACCAACUAAAAAUCCUGACGACUAUUAUUCUUACCGGAGGGAAUGCCAUUGCCUUAAAUUCCAAUCUGUACUUUGUCCAGAUGGUAUUAUAGCUAGCUUAAAAGGGCCUUAUGCAGCGGAUAAGCAUAAUGCUGGAAUAUUUAGACUUUCUUCUUUAUACAAACAACUAGAGGCCAAAGUCAUAUUCGAUAAGCAAACAUUUGCUUUGUAUGGAGAGCAUUACGCGCUAAUGACAUUAGUUGUGACCCCCUACGAGGGCAAACCGCUAAGCUUGACUUCCCGACAACGCAUAUUCAACCAGUCUAUGAAGUACCUUAGGGCAGGUGUCGAGUGGGGAUUCCAGGAAGUGAUCGCCAUAUUCCCAUUUGUAGAUUUUAGGAAAAACAGAAAACUGUCUAUGCAGGAUCUCAAUUCUCUGUACAAGGUUGCCACUUUAUUGACCAACUGUCAUACGUGCCUAUACGGAAGCAGAACGUCGACAUAUUUUCGAACGACACCUCCAACAUUGAAUGAAUAUUUUGGGUUGCAUUAAUAAGUACAGUGUGUCCCAUUUUUGCUGGUUUUACAGUAUAUCCCCCUUAUUAAUUAAACUAGAUAGUUGGGACAUUUGAGAUUUAAGGCUACUUUUUCAUGAAAAUCAAAGGUUUUUGGUACCAGUUAGUACUUGGACAUAACAUGGGGUAUUUGUAUUUACUGAUCCUUUCUUCGAGCCUAUAAAAGCUUCUUCAGACCGGUCCUGGAACAUUCUGUAAUGGCUUGGUCUCCAUACUUCUGAAAGGACAUAGAUCUUCUGGAACGAGUCAAAACCUAACCACUUUAGGAGAAGGGGGGGACCUAACUGAAUGCUACAAAAUCACUAAAUUCACUAAAAUUGUGUACUGAACUUUUGUCAUAACUUUCACCCUAAAAAUUUAUAACAAACCCUGUUGUAAAUGAGGAACAGUUGAUCAGAUGAUAUUAUUCUAUCCUGAAUUGCUGUGUCAACAU